rnacentral:rRNA from 1 species
UCCUUAACUGACGCUAAAGCUCGAAAGUGCGGGUAUCGAACAGGAUUAGAUACCCUGGUAGUCCGCACGGUAAACGAUGGAUGCCCGCUGUUGGCGAUAUAGUGUCAGCGGCCAAGCGAAAGCGUUAAGCAUCCCACCUGGGGAGUACGCCGGCAACGGUGAAACUCAAAGGAAUUGACGGGGGCCCGCACAAGCGGAGGAACAUGUGGUUUAAUUCGAUGAUACGCGAGGAACCUUACCCGGGCUUGAACUGCAGGCGAACGAUACAGAGAUGUUGAGGCCCUUCGGGGCGCCUGUGGAGGUGCUGCAUGGUUGUCGUCAGCUCGUGCCGUGAGGUGUCGGCUUAAGUGCCAUAACGAGCGCAACCCCUUUCUCCAGUUGCCAUCAGGUAGAGCUGGGCACUCUGGAGACACUGCCACCGUAAGGUGUGAGGAAGGUGGGGAUGACGUCAAAUCAGCACGGCCCUUACGUCCGGGGCUACACACGUGUUACAAUGGGUGGUACAGAGAGUAGGUCGCUGGCAAUAGCGAUCCAAUCCUAAAAGCCAUCCUCAGUUCGGAUUGGGGUCUGCAACCCGACCCCAUGAAGCUGGAUUCGCUA